AUGCAAAAAAAAAAAAAAAAAAAAAAAAAAAAAAAAAAAAAAAAAAAA
rnacentral:ribozyme from 13 species